GGAGGCGUGUGUGAGUGGUUGAAACAAACAGUCUUGAAAACUGUCAUACCGCAAGGUAUCGAAGGUUCGAAUCCUUCCGCCUCCG
rnacentral:tRNA from 1 species